ensembl:lncRNA
UACAUGCUUACAAAACACUUAUAUAUCAGGUCAUUUCAUAUUAAGGUUUUAGUAGAGGUUCUUGGUUAAAACAUUUAUUUAGUAGAAGACAUACACAUAGUCUCAGUGAGCCUCUGGUCUAGUGAAAGGUCAGAAGUGCAACAGGUGAAGAGGUGACACAGAGAGCAUGUGAGGUCGUGACACACACACAUGAGUUAGAUUUAUUUAGAGGAGAGAGAGAUUAGUCAUGUCUGGAUUGUAACGGAACCGUCCUUGUCUUCUCGGCAAGAAAGAGGAACUGAAAGGUUGACCGGAGGAAUCGGCCAUGAAAAUAGAAGAUGAUGUUCUGUCUUAAAAGUCAUUGUGGUGUUGAUUUGACGUAUGUAUAUAUCCUGUCUGUGA